rnacentral:rRNA from 1 species
AUUGAACGCUGGCGGCAGGCCUAACACAUGCAAGUCGAACGAGUGGCGGACGGGUGAGUAAUGUCUGGGAAACAGCCUGAUGGAGGGGGAUAACUCCUGGAAACGGUAGCUAAUACCGCUUACCAUCGGAUGUGACCAGAUGGGAUUAGCUAGUAGGUGGGGUAAAGGCUAACCUACGCGACGAUCCAUAGCGGGUCUGCGAGGUUGACAAGCCACCCUGGAACGGAGACAAGGUCAAGACUCCUACGGAAGGCAGCAGUGGGGAAUAUUGCGCAAUGGGCGCAAGCCUGAUGCAGCCAUGCCGCGUGUAUGAUGAAGGCCUUCGGGUUGUAAAGUACUUUCAGCGGGGAGGCGUUACCCGCAGAAGAAGCACCGGCUAACUACGUGCCAGCAGCCGCGGUAAUAC